rnacentral:rRNA from 1 species
UGGGGAAUAUUGCACAAUGGGCGCAAGCCUGAUGCAGCCAUGCCGCGUGUAUGAAGAAGGCCUUCGGGUUGUAAAGUACUUUUAGCGGGGAGGAAGGGAGUAAAGUUAAUACCUUUGCUCAUUGACGUUACCCGCAGAAGAAGCACCGGCUAACUCCGUGCCAGCCGCCGCGGUAAUACGGAGGGUGCAAGCGUUAAUCGGAAUUACUGGGCGUAAAGCGCACGCAGGCGGUUUGUUAAGUCAGAUGUGAAAUCCCCGGGCUCAACCUGGGAACUGCAUCUGAUACUGGCAAGCUUGAGUCUCGUAGAGGGGGGUAGAAUUCCAGGUGUAGCGGUGAAAUGCGUAGAGAUCUGGAGGAAUACCGGUGGCGAAGGCGGCCCCCUGGACGAAGACUGACGCUCAGGUGCGAAAGCGUGGGGAGCAAACAGG